UAGCCCAUUGGCGAUGACUUGUGAAGCCACACGGCCGCCAUAUUGCCACUCUCAAGAAACACUUCUCGGACAAUCUUUUGCAUUCGUGGUGAACUUCUUUUAUUAAUUCGGAUUGGACACAAAUUUUGCCUUAAGAUGCCUGCAUGUGCAGCUAUUAACUGCACAAAUCGCCAGUUCAAAGGCUGUGGACGAACAUUUCACCUGUUUCCGUUUAGCCGUCGACAGUUGCUGGCAUCAUGGCUCGUAAACAUGAGACGAGAUCUGUGGACACCAACACGUAAAUCAGUCCUUUGUAGUGACCACUUCGAAGCAGCAUGUUUUGACAGAACUGGCCAAACAACACGUCUCAAAAAGGAUGCAGUUCCCACAGUUUUCCAGUUUCCAAGGCAUUUGCAGAAGGUGUUUUGAUGACAUCUUAAGGAAAAUGAUUCAUUUAAAAAUAUAUCAUGAGAGAAAGAAAAAAAGGUAAUAAAUUUACGACCCACUGUAGCAAUUAUGAUCCAUGUCCUGUGAAAUGUAUGAAAGUGGCAAAAUUUCCACCCCUUAGCUUUUGUUUUCUAGAUACCGAAACCCUGCAGAAAACCUCCAAAGGAAAGAAACUAUGCUCAACCAAGUUUGGAUGAGGAGGAGGAAGCAAACAACACAGCCCCCCAAGAUUCACCAAGUUCAUCUGCCAUCCUUGAUGAUCACUGCUAUGCUACACUGCAAAGUCCAAGAACAGUCAAAAGGAGACUUGAUGAAGCCUUCGUCCAAAUUGAUAGCCUGCAGAAGAAAGUGAAGGUGUUGCAGCAAAAGUCGCUUCGGUUAAAAAGACGAGUCACACAUCUGAAGGAAGUUGUCACAACUUUGGAGGAGGAGAAGCUCAUUUCUGCCAAUGGGGCUGAUGGGGCUUUAAUGCUUUUUAUUUUAAAAUAGAUGUUCUGCAAGCCUCUUCAUCUGCUUUGUACACUAUGUACGCUGUGCCAACGUAGUCUGCGACGUACGAGAUGUGAGUGGUAAGAUGGCCUCUCUGUGGCUUCAGCGGCUUGCACGGGCGGGUGCGACGUAUGAACUCACUGAUCUGUACGAAAAAAAUCUGGAUAGCCCAUUGGUCAAUGACUUGUGACGCCACGUGGCCGCCAUAUUGCCACGCACAAGAAACACUUCUCGGACAAUCUUUGGCAUUCGUGGUGAACUUUUUAUUAAUUCGGAUUGGACACAAAUUUUGCUAAGCCGUGACGGUAAGUAACGGAGGCAAAAACGAUGGUACGUGCAAAGAAAAAUAUUGUUGAGGCGGUAGGUGGUGUAUAAAGUUGUAUAAGCACUGGUGUGGUACAUGUCCUAAGCGUAUAUUUUCUAUAUUUUCAUAUGUCACUACUGUGUAUUUGUAUGGCAAAUUAAAUUUGAUACGUUGUUUUUUUUUUUUGCAAAAAUCUUUAUUACAGCAAAACCAACAAACAAGUUACGUAACAAAAAUAGGACACGCUGCUGUCAUCAGAUGACACGGAGAUAUAAAACACACACAAAAC